GCGAGUCAGAGCACAACACGCUGCUACGGCAGAGGAAACUCCUCCCUCUAUACAGGAAAUGUGAUCUGGAGAUAGAUGAUCAGAGAUGGUCGGCAACAGAGCAGAAAAAAUUCCACCUGGCGUACUAUGAUGGUUAAGCCUGAGAUUUCCAGGAAGUGAAAUGAAAGAUCUGUCCCACAUGGAGCAAAGCCAAACAGAACCUAAAGAUCCUGUACUUGGUUCAGGUAGGCUGCAAAGCGAAAUAUUGUGAAAACAAAAGGAGGGUUACUCCUGACACGC
rnacentral:RNase_P_RNA from 1 species